GACGAACGCUGGCGGCGUGCCUAAUACAUGCCAGUAGAACGCAGUUGCGAACGGGUGUGUAACGUGUAGGUAACUGCCUGGUAGCGGGGGUUAACUAUUGGAAACGAUAGCUAAUACCGCAUCCUACCAGAUGGACUUGCGUUGUAUUAGCUUGUUGGUGGGGUAACGGCUCACCAAGGCAACGAUACAUAGCCGACCUGAAAGGGUGAUUGGGCAAACUGGGACUGAGACACGGCCCAGACGCCUGCAGGAGGCAGCAGUAGGGAAUCAUCGGCAAUGGACGGAAGUCUGACCGAGCAAAGCCGCGUGAGUGAAGAAGGUGUUCGGAUCGUAAAGCUCUGUUGUAAGGGAAGCGGUAUCUUACCAGAAAGGGACGGCUAACUACGUGCCAGAAGCCGCGGUAAUAC
rnacentral:rRNA from 1 species